GGGAUCGUUAUCGGAUUACUGGGCGUAAGCGCACGCAGGCGGUCUGUUAAGUCAGAUGUGAAAUCCCCGGGCUUAACCUGGGAACUGCAUUUGAAACUGGCAGGCUUGAGUCUCGUAGAGGGGGGUAGAAUUCCAGGUGUAGCGGUGAAAUGCGUAGAGAUCUGGAGGAAUACCGGUGGCGAAGGCGGCCCCCUGGACGAAGACUGACGCUCAGGUGCGAAAGCGUGGGGAGCAAACAGGAUUAGAUACCCUGGUAAA
rnacentral:rRNA from 1 species